AUGACCUAGCCAAAAGCCAAGAGAAGGACACAGGGCAGGGCUUGGGCAGACAAGGUUGAUGUGAUCCCAUUGAUGAGUGCAAGAGACAAAGAAGGCAAGCCUAAGGAAACAGGACUCUCCUUGGGGCUCCUGGAUGAGCUAGAGGCACAGGUUCUCACUAUGUAGUUCAAGCUGGCCUUGAACUCAGUAUGUAGUCCAGGGUGACUUCAAACUCACAGCAAUCCUCCUGACUCCGCCUCCUAAGUGCUGGGAUAACAGCUGCUGUCCAAGUUUCCUCCCAUCCAGGACAUUUGGGAUGAAUUUUUGUGCCAGGCCUUCCACUGUCACCACCAACCUGUCUCUCCAGUUCUUCUGCAAAAGCAUCAAGGUCCAAGUCCUUGAGUCGUUCUGGGUUUUCCAAGAUUUCUUCGAGGGCUCCUGCAGGAUUGGCAUCCUCAGCUGACUCAUCAUAUUCUAGGGCAUCUACUGCCAUCUUCCUGGCCCACUCGUAAGUCUCAGGGUGGACUCGGGAACCAUCAAGGACUUCAAUAUAUGAGUCAGUGCUGAAGGAAAAGCAGAGAAGGAAAAGGAUAUGGAACAACAAGCUUCUAGGAAGAACCCAAAUGUCCACCAAUGGGGAGCUGGUUAAAUAAAUCAGGGCACCUCCAUAUGAUUAAAAAGAAUGAGAUAGAUCUAUGUGUGCUGACAUGGGAAGAUGACCACAAUAUACUGAUACGUGAAAAUGCACUGCAAAACACUAUGAACUGUAUGAUCCUAUUUUUGUAGUAAAUGGGUAGUUAGUAAAUGCAUAGCAAAAAUAAAAUUUAGAAAAACUGUACUGUA